AAAUACGGGCCUUAGGUUUCCAGUCCUUCUCAGGGCGAACCUCUGACCGCACAGAGCUCGUCUUAGGUUUUUAGUUCUUCUCAGAGCUAGACCUCUGACCACACAGCUCGUCUGAGGUUUCCAGUCCUUCUCAGGGCGAACCUCUGACCACACACAGAGCUCGUCUUAGGUUUCCAGUCCUUCUCAGGGCGAACCUCUGACCGCACAGAGCUCGUCUUAGGUUUUUAGUUCUUCUCAGAGCUAGACCUCUGACCACACAGCUCGUCUGAGGUUUCCAGUCCUUCUCAGGGCGAACCUCUGACCACACACAGAGCUCGUCUUAGGCUUUUAGUUCUUUUAAGAACUAAGUCUCUGACCACACAGAGAAUACUCGACCAAGUUCCAGUUUCGAAGCAAGCGACCACCAUUAAUACAAGAUGUUACAGAUACCUCUCAUACUGUUAGUGUGAAAAAUCACCAUGAAGAAAACGGUUACAAGAUAUCUAUAACUAGAGAAACAUAACCAAG